ensembl:lncRNA
UCCCUGGAGACUUUCAAGGCAAGGCUGGAUCAGGCCCUGGGCAACCCGAUCUAGCCAUUCAUGUCCCUGUUCAUUGCAGGGGACUCGGACUAGAUGACCUUUAAAGGUCCCUUCCAACUCUACGGAUUCUAUGAUUCUAUGUUUUGACAUGUACAGCUUUGCAAUGGCCUACAGGAAAACUCUAUGGUAGAUGGCUUCCAUUUGUUUUUUAAGUGAGAGUUGGAGAGAAUAGGGAAAUGCAUGAGAUACCCUGAAAAGCUCAUUUUCAAUCAUGGUGUCCUAUACAUAGGACCCUUAGCAUACAUUUGGAGACUUGGUCUGCCAUUUAGUCAUCUGUGGGUACUAGUGACAGUCUCAACAGUCAAAUUUAUGACCUUCUGAUAAAGAGGUGGCUUUUGGGAAACCAUCUAUUUCUGGAUAUCUGGUUUCAUAGUAACCACUCCUCUUGUGCUACUUGCUUUUAGCACUUUUUUUUCCCCUGCCUUAUAUCUGUUGUAUAUUUUAAGGAGACAGGUAAACAGCAUGAUGUUAAAGUUCGGUGCAUCAAAGAGAAUUUUUAGAUAAGGAGAAGGACUAACAGCAUUUUUCAGAAAAAAAGAGAGACGUGGUGGUAUAACUGCAGAACAGCUACACACUUGCCCAAGUUGGAAGAUAAUUUACCAUAACUGCAAAGAGAUUAUUCUGAAAAGCUCUGCUACACUCUGUCACUGUGCCAUUUUGCACAGUGGUUUCAGACCUAACAAACUGGACCGUCUUAAUAUUUGGAUGGUUGAUGUUCAAACUGCUGUAGGCAAUGCUGCUACUGCUUCAGCAAGGUGUUUUUUUCCAUCCAAAUAGAUUAAAUGAUGCCUAUGUGAAGUUAAAAAAAGAAAAACUGCACUGGCCAAUUGCAUUUUCUUUCUGUCACUUUCUUUUUUUUUUCUCGUUAAACCUAAAAUACUGUGCUUCCAGAAGUUUCUAGUUUGAAGUCCAAUUUUUCUGCGGUAACCUGUUGAAUUUGUUAUAUUUCAAGGAAAGCUAGCACUCAAUACAUUAUAUUACACUAAUUAGAUGAAAAAUAACCCAGAACAAAAGGAUCUCCAAUAAGCAUAACGGCAGAAAAGGGUGACAUUUUCAGUUGUCAUGCUAGCCAAUCUCAAAUUCAAUCUCAUUCAGCAUCAGAGGAUAUUUUGUAGUUACUGCAAUUACGAACAGGUUGCUUACAUUCCUCUGUCAUAAUCUUCACAUCAGCUUCACAGCUAUGGGUACUCAUUAUUAUUUGUUAAAUAAGUUGAAUAUUAACACUGAAAAUAAUGCUUAGAUGAAAAACUUGUACCAGGUUUUGCCCUUUUUUCCCCCUCCCAUCUAGUUCUAUCAUUUUCUGCAUGGAAUCUAUUUUUAUUACAGAUAUUUUAGAACAAAACCACGAACUUUAUCAGAGACAUUUUAAAGCAGCAACUUUUUUUUUUUUUUUUUUUUUUUAAAUGCAAGUCUUUUGCUUAAGUCCAUUUGUUGGUUGUCUUCAGAUCAAGAAUCAAGAUUGAAGUUCUGGCACUUGAGUAAGAACAUUCAUCCCGGGGUGCGUUCUCAGUUACAGUUUGAUUUCUAUAAACACUUCAGAAUAGAAUUUCUCCUCUACUUCUAUUUCUAGCUUGUUUCACUGUUUCUCUCACUUGCAAAUACCAAAUAUAGGGCCUUUGCUCAUGUUGUCUCUUUUUUGGAGAAUUCCUUUUCUUCAGGAGGCAUACAGUAGCUGGGAAAGUACUAUCCCUUUCCUGAUUCAAAUCUCUGUGUAGGUGACCAUUUCCUUUGAACAACUUCUUAUUUUCUUGAGUAGAUAAGCUGAUUCUUCUGGACAAUUUGCAUGUCAAUUUAUUACAUUAAGUAUGAUAAUUCUUGAAAAAUGCUAGCUCUUGAAAGCUGUUGUAAAUAUGAGGCUUAUUACAUCUAGACUUUUUUUUUGGCAUUUUGCAAAUGUUCAUUUUUGAUUCAUGAAUUAGGCUUGACCUGGAGGUUAUUAUCCUCCUCUGAAGUAAUGGAGAGCUUCUUAAGAAACUUGAGAACAGAAAAGAUGCCUCCUCCCUGUUCCUAUUCACUGUUGCUAUUCUCAAGUUCCUCAUCUGCAAAACAACACUAAGCACACAGACCAAGUAAAGGGGUUCAGAUGCUACUAAUUAGCAGAUAUUUCACAAUGAUGGUUCAGAGUGCUAACAGAUAACAGUUUGCUGAUGAACAAGUACCAACAGCAAGAACAUGCAUAUAGAUAGCAAAGACUAUUAUAAAGUGAAUACAUACUCUCAAAAACUGGCAACUGGUAGGCUGGAACACUGCUGGAUGUCUUUUGACACACGAAUCACUGAUCAUAUGAUGGAUGGUUCUCAUAACUAUGAUGAGAUCAGUAAGAUGCUGCUCAUCUUCCCUUAGGUCAUCAUUACUUGACCGAAUAUGUCUUCAUGAAGCUGAGGAAUAAAUUGCACUUUUUUUUUUUUUUUUUUAACAGGAUGUCUAAGCAAGAGAAUCAGAAUCACUGCAGAAUCUAAUAGGAAUAUUGUUGGAGUUCACCCCAGUUAGAUCAGAAACCUAUUUCAAGGAAAUGAACAGAUGUUCGUGGAAUUAGGUUAACAUGACACACAACUUCUCUAUAUCUGGAUCACUUUGGGGUGUUUCUUCCAUGCACUUAUCCAAAGCUAACAGCAGAUAACUCUUCAAUAUUCUACGGGUUCCACCUGAAUGGGUAGUGCUCUAGAAGUAAAAAGAGUAUCCUCUCUUUUUAGUAGCUACCUAUCUUAUUGCAAAACACAGCACCUUAGUAUUGUCAAUAACUGUUAUGCAUCAGACAGUAUGAUAGAAAGGCUCAAGAGUGGUUAGAAGACUUCCUUCCAUGAAAAGGUAGAAUCCACCUGCUCCUUUUAAACUCCUGAAGACAUUGUAGUGAAACAGAGAUUAAUCAUAUGCCUCUUAAAUGGGAAUACUGCCUGGGAGAGAGAGACAUGAAAUCCCUCCACCUCUGAAAACCAGACGACAUACAGACAAACAGAUAGGUACAUAACCUGGAGGAAGAAUGAAUAAUCAUCAAGUUGUAGGUAGGGAUAUGAGAAGAAUGUCAAGCAGUGGGAAAUGAAGCAGAAGAAGACAGACCAAAUCCAUUAUUAUCUACAGAUCAGAAACAUGCUGAUAGGUACCAUUAACAACUUCUAAUGCAAAAUGGUCCAAUUUAAUUUUUUCUGUUAUGCAAAAGAGCUUAAAAGGUCAGAGGCCUGAAGGACCUACCUUAUAGAGAGAAAGGAGAGAGACAGUAUAAACAGGACAAACUUACACACAUGCCUGAAGUAAAUUGAAGAUCCUAUGGAGCUUGUUGAGUUGGAAAUGGAAGAGCAUAAAGAAGCCCUCAGUUGUAGAAUAAACCUGACUUAAAGGAGUAAAAAGGUGUGUGAGUCAUGCUUUACAGGUCAGGAAACAAAGGCAGACGUCAUGGAAAUGAUUUAUUUGUGGUCACACAGCAAAGCGCUGUCUGAGAUGGAUUUUGGCUCUGGAUUUCCACACACAAAUGAAACAUGAAGCUAGUUUGUUGCUUUCAUCCAAACAGCCUUGUACACAGUACCUCAUGCUGCUGAGGCAGAGCACGGACAAACUGAUGUGCUUGUACCAAUGCUGAUGGCACGCAAUCCCUGCCACAGACAUAAAUGGCUUCGUUGCUGCUGCAUGAAGUGCUAACACAAGCAGUGUGCACUUUGAGGCCCUGAGCAUCAUUAACAGUUUUUAUCGAUACUAUGAAGUUCUGCAACAAAAAUAAUAGGAUUUGUCAGGGGCUGUUAUGAACCGCCCCUGCUGGAUAAAUACAUAAUGCAUGAUGGCAAAGGUCUGAUGGGACUUUAAUCAAUUGCCUUUCUGAGUCAAAUAAAUGUCACAUUAGACGUAAGCCAUGUUGUAUUCUGUAGGGGUCUCUGCUCCCCUCGUCUCACAGGCCUGACACUGCCACGGGGAGCUAUGCACGCGCAUAGACUCCUACUUAUUUGCAGCAAAUAUAUCAGAGCAAAAUGGGAACAGCGUGCUGUAAAUUACAGAUUUGGGACACCUUAUAAUGAAAGGAAAAGGGGAACAGAAAGAAAUAUGGGGCCAUCAUUGGCAUGAGAGGUCAGCUCAAAUACAUCUCUGUGGUAGCUGGCAUUGUCAUCCCACCUUUGGAAGUCACUGCAGCAUAGCUCAUGUUUGUGCCCAUAGGGCAAGGGAGAAGCAAGUGUGCCAUUUCUUUGUGCACGUCAAAAGUACCGAGUCAACUUUAAAUGUUAAAGACACAUAAUUUAGGUUUUUUAUCAGCAAAAGAAAGCUCUUUGUUUCAGCACACACCUGAAAAGAAUCUGAAUAUCUCUUUGCACUUCAGCAUCUCUUUGAAGAAAUUCCAACAACGAGAACUCAACAUGAACAUAAAUUUGCAGGUUUAAUUCCUCUUCCAAAUAUGAAAGAGCUAUUUUUCUUCCUGUGCUAUGUUUUUUUUUUUUUUUUUAAAUUCCAGUAAGCAUAUAAACAGCCAUCUACUUUCCUCUCUGAACAGGUUGUAGGAAUGAAUUUAAAUUGUGAAAUGGAGAUCUGAAGUAACACAAAGUCCAGGCAUAUUUGGGCAUGAAGUUCUAAUCCUAAAUUUAAAAAUCCUCAUUAUUUUUGGCAAUCAGAAAAUACAGCUGAAAUACCUGAAAACAGUGCUUAAUAGGCUGGUGGACUGGAAAUCUUCGGUCUGUCCUUACUUAAUUAUAGUAAAUGUUAUGAUGUGGUAGUGCUAUAUUUACCGUUAUCUCACAACAAAAAGUUUCAUUGUUAUAACUCAGUUGAUUUCUUUGCCAAUGUGUAUUAAAGACUCUUAGCAAAGUGCAAACUUUUGUUCUAAGUACACAAAACCGUCACGUGGCUUAGAGCUUGGCAAAUUAAAAAAGAAGGAAAAAGGAAAUUCUUCCCAAAAUUAAAUCUCCUAUUCUCUUCAACAAAACAAUAACCAAAAAACCUCAAAUCAUUAAAAUUUUAAUUCUUCCUGUUCUAGGCCUUAAGAACACAAUUACCUGGAUUUAUGUACUAUUUUUUCCAAUGAAGAAAGUCACUACACUGACAACUUACGUAGCAGCAGCCAAACCCAAGUGAAUGAGAACAGGCAAGAAAAGACCCCUAAAUAACAUUUUCCAAAUAAACUACUAACAAGUUUUUAAUUCUGAUAGUGUUAGCUGUCGAAGCGGAUGCAAUAUAUUUAAUCUACCCAGAUAAGAAGAGUAGAUCACUAACAGAUGGGAAGGUACACUGGACUGGGAUAAGGAAGGGUUCCAUGGCACCAGGACAGCAUCCAUCAAGGAUGGGUUGAAAUGCCAGUUGACUGUUUCUUACAUUUGCUCAGUUCUUGCACAGCAUGGAAUACUAUACAUUGUCAGAGUUCAACAGCGUAAUACCCUCUACAACAAAUAUAUCUCCAAAUUGAUAUGUACACACUCUUAUCCAAAAAUGCACAUAUCAAUUCCAGAUCAAUCGAUCAUAUAGGUUACUAAGCCUGAGUCCCAGAAGCUGAUGCUGCUUUAAAAUUCUAGGCUACUGCAUCAGUACAGCUACUCAGUACUGAAAUGUGUGGCCAUACGGAACAACAGAGGAGUUCACAAAUGCUUUGUACUGAUCUGAACGGAAUUUAAACAAAAUGUACAACUUUAAUCAAUAAAAACUGUAAAAUGUUUGGUAAUAAAUACUUACACAAGAGUCAGGAAAGGUUCCUUCAGAGGAAGGCCACAAAUUGACUGUGAGUGAUCUGUAAAGAAAAGGGAGAAAAAAAGAAAUCAUGAAAUUAAGUGAUAAUAAGCACUCUAAAUG